UUAUUAAUACCCCUAAAAGCACUUAUAUCAGACUAAACAAACCAUUUUUCCCCCUAAGUAUGGGCGACAGAAAAGGAACAUUCAGAGCUAUAGAAAAAGUACCGCAAGGGAAUGCUGAAAAAGAAGUGAAACAACUCAGUAAAGUUUAAAAAAGCAGAGAUUUACCCUCGUACCUUUUGCAUCAUGAUUUAGUCAGUAAAAAACAGGCAAAAGGUACUUUAGUCUGUCUUCCCGAAACUAAGUGAGCUACUCCAAGACAGCCUAAAAUAGGGCUAACCCGUCUCUGUGGCAAAAGAGUGGGGCGAGCUUAGAGUAGAGGUGAUAAACCUACCGAACUUAGUUAUAGCUGGUUGCCUGAGAAAUGAGUAGAAGUUCAGCUUUUUGGUUUCUUCCUCCAACCCGCUUAGCUACUACCGAACCAGAGAAACCAAAAAAGUUAGUUAAAGGGGGUACAGCUCCUUUAAACAAGAUACAACUUCACCAGCCGGGUAAAGAUCAUAUAUAACCAAGGUAAGAUGUUUUAGUGGGCCUAAAAGCAGCCAUCUAUAAGAAAGCGUCAAAGCUCCUUCAUACCACUACCCCCAAAUUCAGAUAAUACAUCCUAAACCCGCUAAUUUUAUCAAGCCGCCCCAUGCUGCCAUGGGGGUGAUUAUGCUAAAAUGAGUAAUAAGAAAAGCCACCUUUUCUCCUCGCACUCGUGUAAAUCGAAACGGACCCCCCAUCGAACAUUAACCGGCCCCAAAAAAAGAGGGUAAUGAAUUAUCAACCCUAAUAACAAGAAAAGCACCCAAAUAUUAACCGUUAACCUCACACUAGUGUGCUUACAAGGAAAGACUAAAAGAAAAAGAAGGAACUCGGCAAAUACAAGCCUCGCCUGUUUACCAAAAACAUCGCCUCUUGAAAACUAAAUAUAAGAGGUCC
rnacentral:rRNA from 1 species